GACGAACGCUGGCGGCGUGCUUAACACAUGCAAGUCGAACGGAAAGGCCCUGCUUUUGUGGGGUGCUCGAGUGGCGAACGGGUGAAUAACACGUGAGUAACCUGCCCUUGACUUUGGGAUAACUUCAGGAAACUGGGGCUAAUACCGGAUAGGAGCUCCUGCUGCAUGGUGGGGGUUGGAAAGUUUCGGCGGUUGGGGAUGGACUCGCGGCUUAUCAGCUUGUUGGUGGGGUAGUGGCUUACCAAGGCUUUGACGGGUAGCCGGCCUGAGAGGGUGACCGGCCACACUGGGACUGAGAUACGGCCCAGACUCCUACGGGAGGCAGCAGUGGGGAAUAUUGCACAAUGGGCGGAAGCCUGAUGCAGCAACGCCGCGUGCGGGAUGACGGCCUUCGGGUUGUAAACCGCUUUCGCCUGUGACGAAGCGUGAGUGACGGUAAUGGGUAAAGAAGCACCGGCUAACUACGUG
rnacentral:rRNA from 1 species